ensembl:lncRNA
AUCCUCCAACCCCAUCUACACAUCCUCCAGCCCCAUCUACACAUCCUCCAACCCCAUCUACACAUCUACACGUCCUCCAACCCCAUCUACACAUCCUCCAACCCCAUAUACACGUCCUCCAACCCCAUAUACACGUCCUCCAACCCCAUCAACACGUCUUCCAACCCCAUCUACACGUCCUACAACCCCAUCUACAUGUCCUACAACCCCAUCUACACGUCCUCCAACCCCAUAUACACGUCCUCCAACCCAUCUACACAUCCUACAACCCCAUCUACACUUCCUCCAACCCCAUCUACACUUCCUCCAACCCCAUCUACACGUCCUCCAACCCCAUCUACAUGUCCUCCAGCCCCAUCUACACAUCCUCCAACCCCAUCUACACGUCCUCCAACCCCAUCUAC